ACGCUCGACACCUACGGAGGCAGCAGUGGGGAAUAUUGCACAAUGGGGGAAACCCUGAUGCAGCGACGCCGCGUGGAGGAAGAAGGUCUUCGGAUUGUAAACUCCUGUUGUUGGGGAAAAAGNGGAUGGUACCCAACAAGGAAGUGACGGCUAACUACGUGCCAGCACGCCGUAGGUAAUCUGAGGCGGCGUGGACGAAGGC
rnacentral:rRNA from 1 species